CCCUGGCCGGCACCCUCCAGCUGAAGAUGAGACAUAGCUCUGGGGAAAUUCCACUCUAAUUCAUUUAAGCAGAAUAAACAGAGCUCCCGCUCUGAAAGAUUCAGCCCUGAGCAAAAGACACUUGGAGUCUGUGCUGGGACACAGAUGUCCAGUGAAACAUAGAAGAAAAUCUCCAAGUCAAGCGACACGAGAGGCAGCCACUCUGACACCGAGAAGCCACGGAACCUGAUCCCAAUCACCAGAACAGAACAGACUCUCACGCUAAAGAUGCCAAAUGGAGAAGAGAAGCCCUGGAGGACAGAGGUCACGAGGAGAAGAACUGAGGCCUUUCAGCGAACAGCCAGCACCAAUGACCAGCCACAUGAGUAAGACGUUUGGAAGCAGAUCCUCAUGCCCCAGUCAGUGCUUCAGAUGGUGCAGCCAGGCCGAUGACUGCAAACUCAGGGGAAACCCCGAGUCUGUCCAGAUCUGUGGCUUGUACAUACUGCCCCACAGCAACCGUGAAAUCAUAGGAGUGUGUGUUUUAAGGUUGGCGGAGGUUUAAAGGAAUACUUUGGGGAGGCCCCUGCAAAGUCUGUCUUCUCGGAUAUGAAUGGCGCUGAUGGAAAAAGCGGAAAUGCUUUUCUGAGCGUGAACUGGACUGUCACUGUGUGGGGUAUGUCAGAGGGCUUUUUAUCAAUCUUUCAAAAAGUGCCUAUAGCGAGAAAUAUUUGCAGUUAUCCUAGAUACUAAACUUUUUGUUUGUGCCAGGGUUUUUUGGGGGGGGAUUUAAACAAAUUUUUUGUAAGUUGAGAUCUUGACCCAUUCCUUUGGGGACUAUCUCCACAUGCACUAGGAUUCUAGUGAUGAAAAAGAAGAUCAGUGGGAUAAAGUGAUACUUUUUAAGGGAAUUUAAGUGGCCUGGGGAAACUGUCCAACACGGCUGUAUUAAACCCUGCUGAUCACUAUGGAGGGGGAACACAACUGACAGGCAGAAUUGCGGGGUAAGGCAGGGGAAGGGGGGUGGGAAAAUGGAGACAACUGUAUUCGAAUGUCAGUAAAAAGCAUGCUGUUUAUAUUUUAGCAUCUUUGUGAUUGUACACUGAAUAAGAUGUCUAUUGAGGGUUUGGGGUGUACAAAAAGACCACGGUCAAAUAUCUAAGGUAUUCAGGAACCCCAGUUUGGGAACCACCAUGUCCAUUAGAUCCUUUGUUCUCUUAAUUUCUCCUUCUUUCCAUCUUUCACUGCAAAAAACCUGCAAUAUUUAUUUUUGAGUAAUCUAGUUACCAAAACAGUAUUUUAGUUCUCUGACCAGGGGAUAAUAUAU